CUGCGCUUAGCCCCCCCCCGCUCAUGAAACGGCUCUGCUGCAAUGGAUGGCAGAGGGUCCGUAGUACCCAAAGCACUGGAGUGGUCCAGUAGCCGGGAAGGGGCCUAGAAGAUACAUAACUACUACUACACCACACUACACUCGGCUCUACACAUUUACAGAGCUAACCCCUGUCCAGUCCCUGGCAGAGUUAAGGGGGCUUCCAUCCUUAUUCCCUAUCCCCAUCUUCGCCCAUUUUGCUCUAACGGGGCCUUACUUAUUCAGGGGGGGAGAGUGGAGCCCCGAGAAGCACUGUUGAGAGGAAGAUCCUUGGCCCCUCCUCAUUCUCUACAGGGUUCCAAACCUUUCUUCAACAUAGGUGACAACGAGCGGGGCAGAGAUGGAAGAGAUCGAAGACGAGAAUAAGAAGCAAGCUCGCCUUGAUAAUUUUGAUAGAGAGGGAUGGAUAAAGUGGACAAAACAGACUCGCAUUUCCCAUUUCCCAGUCGAAAAGAUGGGUUCCUUUUUCGUCUUGCAUUUCUCAUCGAAGAAAUACGGAAAAAUAAUCAUAUUUAAAACGUUCCUAACCCACCAACCCCUUCCUUCGUAGAGCCGUUUAUUGUAAGUGAUCCGAACCUGCCCGGAGCGAGUCUCCCAUAGAGGCAAGUUAAGUUGGUGAGCCGUAUGAUGGGCAACUAUCUCCUGCGGUUCGGAGAGGACUCAGCUGUUAGUUAGUACCCCCUUUCGGGGUGGACCUUUCACUCUAU